GGGCCUGGAGGCUCGGAGCAGACGUGGCUGCAGAUCGAGGAGAUCUUAAGCGGUGAAAGAUGUUAGACGCUGUCCGAUAACUGCGCGAGAUGGUUUACAAGUAAAAUGCGAGAAGCUGGAAUUCGGAAAGGGAAGAGGAAGUAUUGCAGAAAGGGAAAGCGGCCGAAGUGGAAGCGCUCCCUGUAUCUGACCCGUGUGCGCUGUGGGACCUCGGGGAUCCGGAUGCCCUCGGGCUGAGCUGUGUGUCUGUCCCCAGGCGGGCCGGCAGACCUACGUGGACCCAGCCACGGGCUACCAGGUGCUCACCGAGGCCGCCCACUUGCGGAGAGGUAAAUGCUGUGGCUCUGCGUGCAGACAUUGUCCAUAUGAGCAAGUUAACGUAAGAGACCAGUCGAAAAAGAAGCGCUUCAACUCUUUUUUCUAUGUGUGACCAUGAACGCCUCUGUACUCAGCGAGAACGGCUGCAGGACCUGAGCACACCUUGUAGCUCCACGUGGCUGCCACCAGCAGCACACUGCCAUGCCUGCAGCCGGCACACGGUGACUGCGCUUUCAUUGCAAUAAAGCACCAACUGAACGGUG